CUGAAAUUGUGACCGUGUAGUCUGGAAACCCUCUCGCCUCUAAGCCUCCCGCCGCGCACACACACCCUCUCGGCCUCUCCGGCUCGGUCGUCGCCGCUCUCACCCUCUGCGCGGCACGAUGGCAGGCCUCCCGACCCUCUCUCCUCUCGGUCUGGGCGCCUCUUCUUCCACAGCUCAGGCGCGAAGCAACAACUGAAAUAAAAUUUCACCGGAAAAGCUUGAAAUAGCGGCGGCGCCAAGCAACCCGACGCUGUCGUCUCCGGCUCACCGGCAUUGUUCAACUGUUCAAAAAAAUUAGGGCUGUUAGCGCUGGCCUCAUGAUUUCUCAACGUUGUGAUGCGAUGGUCGUCGGAAAUUUGUACUAGCUCAACGACUUGAAACUGUUCGACGAAAUCUCUCACCGAGAAACCGAGGAAGAAAAACAAGGAAAAUGGGUACAAAGUCGAUGGUGAAGUGGCCGAAGCAAAUCACGUCGUCUCUCGUGGAGCGGCUGUUGUCAGCGGAGAAAGACUUGGACAGAGCAAUCUCCGUCUUCGAAUCGGCCACCGCCGAAUAUUCCAACGGCUUUCACCACGAUCAAACCACAUUCGGCCUCAUGAUCCGGCGACUGCUCUCUGCCAACAAGUUCGUUUUCGCGGAGGAAAUGCUCGCCCGAAUGAAGCAAGAGAAGUGCGACGUAAACGAAGAUAUAUUCCUCUCCAUUUACAGGGCAUACGGCAGAGUUCACAAGCCCCUCGAAGUAGUUAGGGUUUUCAGAAAGAUGAAGGAGUUUGAAUGCAAACCGACGGCGAGAUCUUAUAUAACAGUCUUCUCCAUUCUAGUUGACGAAAGCCACUUGAAAAUGGCGUUCACGUUUUACCGUUACAUGAGGAAGCAGGGCAUUCCGGCAAGCGUUCCCUCGCUUAAUGUUCUGAUCAAGGCACUCUGCAAGAGCAGUGGAACUAUGGAUUCAGCUUUUCAGAUUUUCAAGGAGAUGCCGAAGCGUGGCCACACUCCCGAUUCAUACACUUAUGGGACCUUGAUCAAUGGGCUGUGCAGAGGUGGCAGGAUUCUCGAGGCCAAGGAGCUUCUCAUUGACAUGGAGGCGAAUGGCUGUGCGCCCUCGGUUUUCACCUACAGCUGCCUGAUACAUGGCUUCUGCCAGUCGAACAAACUGACUGAUGCAAUGGAGCUUUUCAAGGAGAUGAAGACCAAAGGGGUGGACCCUAAUGUGUACACUUACAGCUCUCUCAUUGAUGGCCUUUGCAAGAAUGGGCAUUCGUUGCAGGCCAUCGAGCUGUUGGAGAGGAUGACGAGGAAAGGCUUAGCUCCAAACUCCAUCACUUACAGUUCUCUGAUGCAUGGGCUCUGCAAGGAGGGUAAAAUCCAAGAGGCUGUUCAGAUUCUUGAUAGAAUGAAGCUUCAAGACUUGAAGCCUGAUGCAGGGUUGUACUCGAAAGUAAUCAAUGGCUUCUGUGAGGCGGGCAAGUUCAAGGAGGCGGCCAAUUUCCUGGAUGAAAUGGCUCUUUCGGGGAUAACACCUAAUCGAGUAACCUGGGGACUUCAUGUUCGAAUUCAUAAUAGAGUGGUUCAAGGACUUUGUAGCUUGAGUAACCAUAGUCAAGCUUUUCCGCUCUACCUGAGCUUGCGUAGUAGAGGCAUAUCGGUUGAGGCGAGAACCUUUGAAUGUCUUAUACAAUGCAGCUGCAAGAAGGGAGAUCUGCACGAGGCUGCUCGGGUUCUGGAGGAGAUGGUUAUUGAUGGAUGCAUUCCUGAUGAGGAAAUAUGGAAUGGCAUGCUGGUUGGGUUCUGGGAUAGAAGGAAAGUUCGUGAAGCUUCUGAGCUGUUGAAGGCUAAGCUGAUCGAUGAGUUGCAGACGGACCUCAACAAGUCUAUAUGACCAUCUGCACCUUCAUGCCAAUCCAGGUUUCUCACUUCACUACUGAAAAAUGACUUUUCAUCUAGAGCUAGAUUGCCUUAGAUUUUUCGCAAAUAAGAUUUUUAACUUAAUUUUUCAAUGUAAUGGGUAUUAAUAUCAUCUUAAUUUUUCAAUGUAAUGGGAAUUUUAUAUUUUACAUUUGCAAGUUUUAUAUAAUUAAAAUGAUAUGAUUUGUCACAUGAUCAAUUUGAAUUUUGUCACGCCAGAUUUAAUUUUGUACGCAAUUUUAGACAAGUAAUUUUUUUAUAUAUAUUUAGAGGUAGAAAAAAAAAGCUCAUGUACAAAAUUAAAUGCUCAAAGUUUAUGUAUUUUAGACAAGUAAUUUUUGUUAUGCUAUGCUUGAUUCAGAAUUACAUCUGGUAUUUGAAGUUGUGUUGGUACUAAUUUGGAUAUGUAUUGAAUUUGUCAAAAACUUGCUGAAAAGGGAGCCUUACAGUUUUACAACUUACAACUAAUACAAAUAUACAAUACAACAAUUCAAUUUGGUGAUUCAGGACCCAGACCCGAGCCUCACAUCUCCUUCCUUGGGUGAGUGAAAAGCCGUCGUUUUGAGGGGAGAACCACAAACAACGCAGCAGAUUACUCCAAUCCCAAGCAGCACUGCUGCGAAGGCGAGCUCCUCCUUCUCCGAGGGGUUAGGGUACAAGUACCUUACCACGUCCUGAUCAAAAACUGCAACCGCUGCUAACACCAACAACGCUUGAGCAUAAGUCGAUCAGCUCGAGCUUGUAGUAUCUGGCUGCAACCUGUUGUGGCAGCGGUCGAGUUGGCGAUCCAUCAACGAUCCACAAGCCACGAAAACGUUGCAAUACCAUAGUGUACACGUCUGUCUCUGUCCUUGAUGGUAACAUACAUGUGAUUCCACAGAGGGCUACGACCACUGAGGCCGGCUAUCGUGGCUCCUCAUCCUCGGUUUCAACAGCAUCGGGGUCACGAGCAAGGAGCCAGUGGGCAUAAGCUUGGCUACCGGUUCCCCGCUGUCUAAUGCCUCACCUAGCCAUUCUCGGAGGCCUUCUAUUUCCACAGACAUCAUAUAGUCUAGCAUUUUCUUUUCACUCUUCAGGUGGGUUCUUGGCAUUGGCACAUUUAUAGGAGAGGAAUUUAUUCAAUCACCUUCAAGAAUUAAUCACAUCCUCAUGCAACUAAUUAACUUGUUUUCUAUUGCUCAAGACGCAAGGCUUUGAACGUCAAAUUGGUUCUUGCAGUUUAGAUGUAUCUGAAAUCUUUUGAGACAUUUUUCUGUUGUAAAAAGAUUGGUGAGAUUCUAUGCUUUGUUAGUACUUGACGAGUUGUAUGGGAAGAUGAAAACUACUAUGUUGUGCUUGUUUAUACCAUCAA